GGAUUGGCGCAAUGGUAGCGCGUGGUACAUUAAACAAGCCCAGUUCUGGUUAUUCCGCUGUGUUAACAUCAUCAGGCUCUCCUACAUGUUGGUUAAGCCAAGGUUGUGGGUUCGAGUCCCAUGUUCC